UGCGUUGUGGCUCAGUGGUAGAGCGCUUGCCUGGCAUGUGUGAGGCUCUGGGUUCGAUCCUUAGUACCACAU
rnacentral:tRNA from 1 species